AAAACGACUCUCGGCAAUGGAUAUCUCGGCUCUCGCAUCGAUGAAGAACGUAGCGAAAUGCGAUACUUGGUGUGAAUUGCAGAAUCCCGUGAACCAUCGAGUCUUUGAACGCAAGUUGCGCCCCAAGCCUUCUGGCCGAGGGCACGUCUGCCUGGGUGUCACAA
rnacentral:rRNA from 1 species